rnacentral:lncRNA from 1 species
NNNNNNNNNNNNNNNNNNNNNNNNNNNNNNNNNNAUCCCCGGUUCCGUCUGUCCGUCUGUCCAUCCGCCCACCCGUGUGCCCAUCUCUGCAUCCAUCCCCGCGUCCGUCUUUCUGUCUGUCCAUCUCUACGUCCAUCCACGUGUCCAUCUGUCCAUCUGCAUCCAUUCCUGUGUCCGUCUGUCCAUCUCUACAUCCAUCCCCAUGUGCAUCUGCCCAUCUGUCCAUCUGCAUCCAUCCCCGUGUCUGUCUGUCCGUCUCUACAUCCAUCCACGUGUCCAUCUGUCCACCUGCAUCCAUUCCUGUGUCCAUCUGUCCGUCUCUACAUCCAUCCACGUGUCCAUCUGUCCAUCUACAUCCAUCCCCGUGUGCAUCUGUCCGUCUGUCCAUCUGCAUCCAUCCCCGCGUCCGUCUGUCCGUCUGUCCAUCCCUCCCUCCCCACAUCCGCACACCCCCAUGUCCCCACAACGUCCCCACAGUGCCCCCCUGUCCUCAUGUUCCCAAAUGUCCCCGUGUCCCCAUUCGUCCCCACACGUCCCCAUCAGUCCCCAUACAUCCCCACAAUGCCCCAUGUGUCCCCACACGUCCCCACGUGUCCCCAUACGUCCCCAUAUGUCCCUAUCUGUCCCCACACGUCCCUAUAUGUCUCCAUAUGUCCCCAUUGCCACCCACAUGUCCUCAUAUGUCCCCACACGUCCCCAUAUGUCCCCACAUGUCCCCAUAUGCUCUCAUGUCCCCAUCUAUCUCCACAUGUCCCCAUAUGUCCCCACAUGUCAUCACAUGUCCCCCUAUGUCUCCAGAUGUCCCCAUUGCCCCCCACAUGUCCCCACGUGUCCCCAUAUGUCCUCAUAUGUCCCCACAUGUCCCCACACGUCCCCAUAUGUCUCCAUAUGUCCCCAUUGCCACCCACAUGUCCUCAUAUGUCCCCACACGUCCCCAUAUGUCCCCACAUGUCCCCAUAUGUCCCCAUACGUCCCCAUAUGUCCCCACAUGUCUCCAUAUGUCCCCACACGUCCCUAUAUGUCCCCACAUGUCCCCAUAUGCUCUCAUGUCCCCAUCUAUCUCCACAUGUUCCCACGUGUCCCCACACAUCCCCAUAUGUCCCCAUUGCCCCCCACAUGUCCCUAUAUGUCCCCACACGUUCCCAUAUGUCCCCACAUGUCAUCACACGUCCCCAUAUGUCUCCAGAUGUCCCCAUUGCCCCCCACAUGUCCCCACAUGUCCCCAUACGUCCUCAUAUGUUCUCAUACAUCCCCAUAUGUCUCCAGGUGUCCCCAUAUGUCCCCAUACGUCCCCAUAUGUCUCCAGAUGUCCCCAUUGCCCCCCAUAUGUCCCCACAUGUCCCCAUAUGUCCUCAUAUGUCCCCACACAUCCCCACAUGUCCCCAUAUGUCCCCAUAUGUCUCCAGAUGUCCCCA